AUUGGACGCUGGCGGCAUGCCUUACACAUGCAAGUCGAACGGUAACGGGCCUUCGGGUGCCGACGAGUGGCGAACGGGUGAGUAAUACAUCGGAACGUGCCCGAUCGUGGGGGAUAACGAGGCGAAAGCUUUGCUAAUACCGCAUACGAUCUACGGAUGAAAGCAGGGGACCGCAAGGCCUUGCGCGGACGGAGCGGCCGAUGGCAGAUUAGGUAGUUGGUGGGAUAAAAGCUUACCAAGCCGACGAUCUGUAGCUGGUCUGAGAGGAUGAUCAGCCACACUGGGACUGAGACACGGCCCAGACUCCUACGGGAGGCAGCAGUGGGGAAUUUUGGACAAUGGGCGCAAGCCUGAUCCAGCCAUGCCGCGUGCAGGAUGAAGGCCUUCGGGUUGUAAACUGCUUUUGUACGGAACGAAAAGCCUUCUUUUAAUACAGGAGGGUCAUGACGGUACCGUAAGAAUAAGCACCGGCUAACUACGUG
rnacentral:rRNA from 1 species